CUUUUAAUUACAAUUAUUACAGUGUUAACCAAUGAAGACAAAAUAUAUACUAAUAAAAAUGUAAAAUGACUUGAAAUCUAAGACAAUAUGUGAAUAGGCGACCAAAAACCCUCUAUAUUUUAAGCAUUUGAAGCAGAUGUCUGAUAAUGUCGUUGACUCAAAUAAAGAGACCAUCGGUAUCAAACUGGUCGGACAACAUGAUCAGAUUGCAUGCUCGAUGGAGGGAAGCAAAGUCAGUGGAGACAGGACGAUCUUGUUUUUCUCAUUAGACGCUAUCAUCUAGUAUCAGCUGACAGAACGGGCGAUGGCUCCAUAACCUCCACUCUCCACACAUCAGGGUUCCCUAUAGGUGUCGAGGGUGAACCCGCUGACCUCAUCCCUAUGGUUACCUGUGCUUUGUUUAUCAGAUGGCUUCCCUGUCCUUGGAGAUAUCAUGAGGAUGGGUGCAUCAUUUGUUCUUUAUCGGGACAAGUAAUCUGGUGUUGGUGCACUAGACAACAAGAAAAAGUGCUGAUUAGUUCCAACAGCAUGUGGGCUUUCAGGCGAACAGUUCAGAGGAAAAAUUCUUCAAUCUCAGAUAAGAGCUUUGACAUAAGUUUAUAUGCUAAGCAACAGGCAACAUUUAACACAUUUGUAGUUUCCAGCUUUGUGCAUCAAAGGCUCCUCCACGAGUCAUGAUAACCUGUUUGUUAUAUUUUUUAAAGUUAUGAGGAAAGACAAAAAAUAAAUAAAUGUUAAUCUUUUAAAAAUAUCAAAGUUUGUUCACAAAGGACGGGUUGUUUUAACUUGGAAGAAAUUGUAAAAAUAUUGGAUUAAUUCUUAUUUUUAACAUUUUUUUUUAACUUUUUUUCUAAUGAAAGAUUGUCAAUGUUUUGUAUAAAUUCAAUAUGUGAUGCUUUUAAAAGACAUACUCUGAUUAUUUUACUAUCUAUAUUGAUAGCAACACCCAAUCUUGUUUGCAACUAGUACAAAACACAAACUGACGUUUUGACAGAGCAUCAUUUAGCUCUCAAAAUUACUUUAACAUCAGUCUCCAUAGCAACCAUGGUAUGUUUUGGUCGGCUGGGGAUACCAAAUACAUUGACGUGAGUUUCAGCAAAAAAAAAAAAAUCAGCAAAAGUAAAUUUUUGGCUUUUCUUAGCAACGAAGGUUAUUUGCUAACUACACCUAUAUUCCUGAUAUGUUCAUAUCCAGUGGUAUAUUAUUUGGUCCAGCUCUACCCAGGCAUCCAUUGAGUAUUUUUUCACAAUAUUUCCCUUCAAAAUGGGUGAGUAUCAGAAGAAUGCCACUUUUGAGAGCCCGCAAUGCGCAUGCCGCUCAAAAUCUACAACUUGUAAUUGCAACUUUUUUUCCACAGUAACUUCCUGAUGACGCUCAAGAAUUUUGGAGACGAUCAAGGAAAAUCCCUAGGACGAGUUUUUUUUGUAUCUAGUACUAAGGGUAGUUUUUAUUUAUUUAUUUUUUUUGUUCAAGAUGACAGCCUCCUUCUGAGGUCAAAUGUCAACAAAACUUUUGUGGUGGUUGUAGACUUAAGCUGGCAGCAUGUGUGUUGAAAUUUGUGAAAUUCACUGGAACAAAAGUUUCGUUUUUACAAAUUGCGAGAACAUGUGAAAAUUGGGAAAUUUCACACUUUGCCACAAAAUGGCCACCAGGUUUUAGGUCAUAUGGCCAUCCCAUAAUAAUUUCAUAACUUCCGUAUUUAAAUAUCCCCGACACAUAUGUUUUGGUUUUGUUAGUGUAAAUAGAUUUUAUUUUUUUAUUCCAUAAGCAAUUUGUCCCUUUCAUUUUUUAUGUUUUUUUAAAGGUUUCGCCCACCAUGAGGUCAUCGUUUUUUGGGGGGAGGGGGUGGGGGUUGUCAUGUGGCCAAAAAUGAGUUUUUACUGGGUUCUAGGUGUUUUCAAAUUUUGGUGAGUUUUGGUUGAUGCGGCGGGGGUCAAAUUUUCACUCAAAGGCGCAGAAAUGUUUCUGUAUUCGAGAACAAUACAGUCCUUGCAUUCAGUGACUGCUACAGGCCAUAAUUAAUCCAAAUAUAAGGUGUUCCGGUUUAUAAGACACACAAUUAUAUUUUAUAAGAAAGAAAAAAAAGGCUUUUAAUUGUACAAGACUAUUUUAUUUGCAUUGAUUGAGCGCUACAAGUUUGGACAGAACCUAGACUUUCAAAUUGUGACUUAUUUCCCCUUAAAUAUGGUAUUUUAGGAGAUUUUGUCACAUUAAUUUCUAAUGUUUGCCAAGAUGACAACAGGUCUAAUCUAGUAAGAUUGCCCUGACAUUAGUAUAUAUUGCUGUUGAGACCAUGUCAAUAACCUCUCAGCCUGUGAAGGGGGGAGCCACGGGAAUCUUUCCAUUCCCUGAUCCAAUUAGCUGCAGACUAAGCCAACUGAACCCGGUUGGCCCCCCGGGCACCUCAAACCACUAAGAGCAGCCAGCCAGGCAGAGGCCAGAAGGUGAGCUGCCACCUAAACUUUUUACAUUGAUUACAACCAAUCCCUGUAGACUCUGUGACGGAUUGUGAUUCUUGUCUACUUUCCCAUGAGACUCCCAUGCAUAUGGUAUGUAUAGAAAGACACCUAAAUGUUUAAAAAGUAAGAACAUUUUGCUCACUAUUUUUAGUAUUUAAAUAGGGAUAUUAAUACUAAACUGUGCACCUUUUUUUUAAAGCUAUGCAAUUAAGUUUCAUGUGCAGUUUAAUUUCAGAGUAAGUGGCCAACAGCAGAGAGCAUAAUACCAGCCACCAUUCAUCCCAGUUUUAAUCAUUUCUUUUCAAUCCAAGUUCCAUCAAAUGUCUUGAAGUCUUUGUUAAACUUCACAAACACCAUCUCUGAGUCAAGCAGUUAAUUAGCUGGUAAUGCGCACAGCCUGCCCACAGUCAGAUGAGUGCACAUCAAAGAGGCCGCCCCACAAACCGGCGACUGCGCCUUCCACGCAUCCGUCUUCCGACCGCAAAACCCCAUCAAAUGUGAUGCGACGUGAGGGGCUGCCUGCCAUCUCUCCGGCAUCUGACCUUGUUUUACGGUUCAACAGCCAUCCACUUUUUUGGGGAGGGGAGUUUUUAACGGCCUGCCACCCCCGAGAGGACUGACCAAGUUUCCUUCCCUCUUAAGCAUUAAUUUACAAGCCUCGUCCGCUGUCCAAUGGGAUGAAAGACCACUUCAAGUUCAGUAAAAACCAACUUGCAGCAAGUUUUUGCUCUAAUGCAGUACGUUUUGCCGGACAGCUGGUGUCUGAGUGAAUCUAGAGAAGCAGUUGAGUUUCAACAUCAAAGUGCAGGUUAAGUGUGAUAAGUGGAAUGAGCAUAUGCCAGGGGGAAGAUAAUGACUAAAAAUGACUUUCUGUCUCCCUUACACAAAGAGAGACAGGGGCACAGCUGCUGUGGAAGAUUAAUGGGGCUGCCAGAUGUAGGGACUCUUGAGAGGGUGACCAGCCUAUAGUGCUCUUCACCAUGCUGGAAGAGGACAAAGCAUCCAUCAGACAAGCAUGGAGCAGACAGGCAGAGGAUCGUCAGAUAGGAGUAGAUUCGAUUCGAUUCCAGGGUAUCCCACCUUCGCCCGACAGUAGCCAGAUGAGGCUCUGGCAGCACCGUGACCCCAAAAGGGAUACAGUGGGAGUGACUGCUGUCUAACCUCUGGGUCACCUGAGAGGAGCAUCUGACAGCAUCAGUUCAGGACCAUCUAUACGAUUUGUUUUUCUCCUUCAUCAAGGUUAAAUGGAACAAAACAAUCAUCUUAGCUCAUGUGAACAAAUAGGGAAAAGGUACCCCGAUGUCCUACAACAAGGGUUAUAAAUAAGACAGAAAUCCAACACUUUCUAUGCAAUUUUCUCAAAAAGGCAAUUAAAUCUCGGAAGGGAGGAAAAGAGGAGAAACCUGAAACAAAUGCCUAAAAGCCCUUCUGCCAAAACCUCAGAUGCAGGGACACCGGUUCCUUGUUCUCUGAACAGAGAGAGUUUCAAUUACAUGCAGUUUGCCCUUGGUUGGGCUAUUUCAAUAUUUUAUGUUGAUACAUUACCACUGCACCACGCCUUCAUUCAUUUUCAUUCAAAGGAAGGAGCUUUGAGCAGAAAUAGGCGCUCUA